UUAGUUGGUGGAGUGAUUUGUCUGGUUAAUUCCGUUAACGAACGAGACCUCAGCCUGCUAAAUAGUCCGACGAAUACUUUUGUAUUCGCUUUCGGAGCUUCUUAGAGGGACUGUCUGUUUCUAACAGAAGGAAGUAUGAGGCAAUAACAGGU
rnacentral:rRNA from 1 species